rnacentral:rRNA from 1 species
GACGGCAGCACGGGUGCUUGCACCUGGUGGCGAGUGGCGAACGGGUGAGUAAUGCACCGGAACGUACCCAGUAAUGGGGGAUAACACAUCGAAAGAUGUGCUAAUACCGCAUACGCCCUGAGGGGGAAAGCGGGGGAUCGCAAGACCUCGCGUUAUUGGAGCGGCCGAUGCCGGAUUAGCUAGUUGGUGGGGUAAAGGCCUACCAAGGCGACGAUCCGUAGCUGGUCUGAGAGGACGACCAGCCACACUGGGACUGAGACACGGCCCAGACUCCUACGGGAGGCAGCAGUGGGGAAUUUUGGACAAUGGGCGCAAGCCUGAUCCAGCCAUGCCGCGUGAGUGAAGAAGGCCUUCGGGUUGUAAAGCUCUUUCGCAAGGAAAGAAAACUUACCUUCUAAUAAAGGGUGAGGUUGACGGUACCUUGAUAAGAAGCACCGGCUAACUACGUGCCAGCAGCCGCGGUAAUACGUAGGGUGCGAGCGUUAAUCGGAAUUACUGGGCGUAAAGCGUGCGCAGGCGGUUCGACAAGUCUGAUGUGAAAUCCCCGGGCUCAACCUGGGAACUGCGUUGGAAACUGUCGGGCUAGAGUGUAGAAGAGGGGGGUAGAAUUCCACGUGUAGCAGUGAAAUGCGUAGAGAUGUGGAGGAAUACCGAUGGCGAAGGCAGCCCCCUGGGCUAACACUGACGCUCAUG